rnacentral:rRNA from 1 species
GAGUUUGAUCAUGGCUCAGGAUGAACGCUGGCGGCGUGCCUAACACAUGCAAGUCGAACGGAGUUUAUGAGGAAGAAGCUUCGGCGGAAUUCUUAUAAACUUAGUGGCGGACGGGUGAGUAACACGUGGAGAACCUGCCUCUUACCGGGGACAGCAGUUGGAAACGACUGAUAAUACCGCAUAAGCGCACGAGACCGCAUGGUCCUGUGUGAAAAGAUUUAUCGGUAAGAGAUGGCUCCGCGUCUGAUUAGCCAGUUGGCGGGGUAACGGCCCACCAAAGCGACGAUAAGUAGCCGGCCUGAGAGGGUGAACGGCCACAUUGGGACUGAGACACGGCCCAGACUCCUACGGGAGGCAGCAGUGGGGGAUAUUGCACAAUGGAGGAAACGUACU